rnacentral:lncRNA from 1 species
AUGCCCCCAUAUCCUGUGCCCCGUACCUGCAGCUUGCCCCGCAUGGCGCAGCUCCCUCUGUCCCGCGUCUCCCAAGUGAGAUGCUGCUGGCGAGACGGGGGUGGGCAGCAGGGACCCCCACCAAGACCCAGGCGACCCCAGGAAUGGUGCUCCCGUCCCCCUUACCCGCUCAGGGUACAGCACCCGCUUGUCCUGCCCCAGGUCGAAGGCAUAGAUGUGGUCCCUGGGGGGGCACAGUGUGAACAGAAGGGGCGCGGGGACGUGCAAGGGGGCAUGGGGACGUGCAGAGCACCAGCAAGGGCAGGCGGAUGGAGGAGGGAACACAGGGUGCCCAUGCCCACCACGUACAAGUGGUGCCCAAGCGUGCAGAAACGGACACGCACAAGCGUGCCUAAGCACGCAGCGGUUUGCACAGGCCAGGACAAGCACGUACAAAUAUACGCCAGCGAGCCCGAGCCUGCACAAGCACAGGCAACUUUGCACAAGCAUGGAGAAGUAUGGACAUGCGAGGACACGCGUGCGCAAGCGUGCAGAAGCAAACAGGUCCCCAGAAGCAUGCACCAGCACAAACAAGCAUGCACAAGAACAUCCAAGUGUGCACAAGUGUGCACAAGUGUGCACAGCCACGGAGAAGGACACGCAGGCACAGAGAGGGGUGCACAAGCGCGCUCACCGUGCGGCGACGAAGAGGGUGCCGUUGAGGCGCAGCAUGCGCUGGAAGUCGAGGCCGAGCUGGGUGGUGACGUUGUCCCCCCGGAGACCCCCGAAGCGGGGGUAGGUGGCGGUGGCUGGGGGACGUGGGAACACGGUGACGAUGCCCCUGGCUGGCCCCGUGCCCCCAGCCCCGGCCCCCGCUCACCUGCCAGCCCCACGGUGCUGCGCGGCACCAGGUCCCGCGGGAAGGACUGCGCCACUCCCCUGGGGGCCCCGGGGACCACGAUGAGGACGAGGACGAAGGCCAGCAGCACCCCGAGCAUCUUCCCAGACACCCGAAGGAGACGUGGGGCUGCUAGCGAGCCCGGACCCCUCUGGGCUGCAAGGGGUUAA